rnacentral:rRNA from 1 species
AGACCCGAAACCCGGUGAUCUAGCCAUGGGCAGGUUGAAGGUUGGGUAACACUAACUGGAGGACCGAACCGACUAAUGUUGAAAAAUUAGCGGAUGACCUGUGGCUGGGGGUGAAAGGCCAAUCAAACCGGGAGAUAGCUGGUUCUCCCCGAAAGCUAUUUAGGUAGCGCCUCGUGAAUUCAUCUCCGGGGGUAGAGCACUGUUUCGGCUAGGGGGCCAUCCCGGCUUACCAACCCGAUGCAAACUGCGAAUACCGGAGAAUGUUAUCACGGGAGACACACGGCGGGUGCUAACGUCCGUCGUGAAGAGGGAAACAACCCAGACCGCCAGCUAAGGUCCCAAAGUCAUGGUUAAGUGGGAAACGAUGUGGGAAGGCCCAGACAGCCAGGAUGUUGGCUUAGAAGCAGCCAUCAUUUAAAGAAAGCGUAAUAGCUCACUGGUCGAGUCGGCCUGCGCGGAAGAUGUAACGGGGCUAAACCAUGCACCGAAGCUGCGGCAGCGACACUUUAGUGUUGUUGGGUAGGGGAGCGUUCUGUAAGCCGUUGAAGGUGUCCUGUGAGGG